AUUGAACGCUGGCGGCAGGCUUAACACAUGCAAGUCGAGCGGAGAUGAGGUGCUUGCACCUUAUCUUAGCGGCGGACGGGUGAGUAAUGCUUAGGAAUCUGCCUAUUAGUGGGGGACAACAUUCCGAAAGGAAUGCUAAUACAGCAUACGUCCUACGGGAGAAAGCAGGGGAUCUUCGGACCUAGCGCUAAUAGAUGAGCCUAAGUCGGAAUAGCUAGUUGGUGGGGUAAAGGCCUACCAAGGCGACGACCUGUAGCGGGUCUGAGAGGAUGAUCCGCCACACUGGGACUGUGACACAGCCCAGACUCCUACGGGAGGCAGCAGUGGGGAAUAUUGGACAAUGGGGGGAACCCUGAUCCAGCCAUGCCGCGUGUGUGAAGAAGGCCUUAUGGUUGUAAAGCACUUUAAGCGAGGAGGAGGCUACUGAGACUAAUACUCUUGGAUAGUGGACGUUACUCGCAGAAUAAGCACCGGCUAACUCUGUGCCAGCCGCCGCAGUAAUAC
rnacentral:rRNA from 1 species